AGACUUCAAUAGCAUCAGGGGCUACUGCCCAAAAUGGGCACCCGAUGUUCCAAGGUUCGAUAGCCGAAGCCCAAGACUCUAACAGUCAAACUUGGUUCUGCUCACUUUAUUUCUCAUUCAAUUCCAAGGUUCCAAAACCUAAUUUCAUGAUUAUUACAGGCCUAAAAUAAAAUGUUUAUUAUGUGUAUAGAGUUUUAGAACCUUGUAUGACUCUCUAAAGUCCAAUUUUAUAAAAUCGGGCUUAAGGGACUCAGGAAGUUAAGGAUCUGAGGAUAGUUACCAUUUGAGUUAGGUGGUUGAU
rnacentral:misc_RNA from 1 species